UCCUACCUCUCUUCCACACUGCACCAUCAUCACCAUUUCACGCCGUUAUUUCCAAAGGCCCCGCUCGUUUGUUUAAAUCUCGCGAUAUCUCAAUCCCGCCGAAAGGCUCCUCUCGCGCCCGGUCGCCUCCUCAGUAACGGCUCCCCGGCUGGCCCGGGUUCCCGUCUCCGUCCAUCGGCCUCUCCUCGGGACACCAGAGUCACUCGGAAUCGGAGGACACUUUGAACGAGUCUGGAACGAAGCUGUGCCCAUGAACUUGGUCCAAUCCUGGAGUCUGACCCUUCACUUCUCGUUCCAUGUCAGACGUAAAACAACACCCCUCUUCCUUCUGUUGAACCAAUCUCCUUUGACCUGGACCCAUGGGACCCUCUGGACAUUGUGGCCUUGGGCUGGCACUCCCUCAGCAGUUUCCUUGACGCCUCCACUCCUCUGCUAAAGAAGAAGUUGGCGCAGCACUCGAGAUCAGACCAACUGGCUGUCUGGGACUGGGGUGGAAGAAGUCUGUGCUGUCAGCUGACAUUCAGAACCUUUCAGGGGUGGUGGAGGGGAAUGGCUGAGUGGCCAACAUAUUUAAUUACAUCCCUGCUUGAGUCUUCUGCUCCAAAAGGACUGGGUUUUGCCUCCCCCCUCCCCCCGCCCCAUCAUUUCUGGCGCUCUCUUCCACUGGAGGGGAGGUGCCGAGGACGAGCAAUGUCCUGGGUCUGGAUGGGGAUUAGCAGGCAUCUGCAGCAGCAGUUUGCCAGACGACAGGAGGGUGAUGUUGGCACUGCAGACGUGAUGUUUGACUCUGAAAAUCCAGGUGAUUUAUUCCCCUGAUGCUUCACCUCUGGGCGGUGACCAAUCUGUCACAAAUGCAGCAGGACAGGGAACCUUGUGGAAAGUGAUUGCAAAGCAGACCUCUCCAAUGACCAGUUGCCAUGACCGUGCAGGGCUGGUGUAAGCCUGAUAGCUGACUGCAGAGAUUGCAAGAUGCUGAUUUGAUGUGGAAGUGAGUCCAUUGGCCAUCGUGCUGAGGGCGAGGACGAGGGUGGCAGUGUUUGGAAACUGGGACUGCAUCAGCACCAAUGUUGUCCUUACCAACUGCACCUGACUGCAUUAAGGUUCAGGGUACAUUUAUUGUCAAAGUAUGUAUGCAGUAUACAACUCAGAUUCAUCAUUAACACCACUAUUCUCCUGCAUCAGGACGUGGACGAAACAACCGGCCAACGACAGGCCAAAGGUAGUGGUGAGCACAGUCACAGAAUGAUGCCAUGCCAGGGACACUCUCACAUUCAGGCAAGGGGAGACAGAGAUUGACAGUGUUUCAUAGGUGCAUGGUGGCUCAAUGGGAGAGGGGUUAGAAAGUCCAAAGAAAAAUAAAUCUUCCAGAAUUCCCAUAUUGGCAGGAGGCUGUGGUGUAGAUCUAACCCAUGGGAUAUGGAGAUGGGAACUGUGCAUGGUGUUUCCAGUGUGGGUCUCAACUGGCCCUUUCCAGAUUUAACCCACUUUCAACAAUCCCACUGCCUAAUCCUCAGUACAUCUGGUUGAUAUUCCAGAUUGAUGAGUUUUUCCAUUUUCGCUGAAUGCCUAUGGAGGUUCAGAGAUUUCUGCCGAGUGGUGCCCCAAAGGGAAUGGUUUGCACAAUCGGAGCAGAAUCUUGCCUUGUGGAUUCUGUUGAAGACAGGCGAGGGCUGACAGCAAUUGGCAUGGCAUCAUGAUUCACUGUUUGCUGGUAUUCUAGAGUGUGUCUUAGGUCAGAAUGUUUAGAACAAGUUAUUCAAUUUCCCACACAUGCACUGUGCUCACAGUGUUCCUGAAGUACUGACUGGGGAUUAUGGAGGUGGGAACUGUGCAGGCGGACCCAGUCAGGCUGACCCAGAGGAUAUGGAAAUUGGAAGCACAGACAGUUCUGCCUGUGUGAGUCUGAAACAGCUCUUUCCAGACUUAAGCCAUGUUUGACAGUCCCACUGCCAAACCCUCAGUACCUGUAACUGAUGUUCCAGGGGCAUCCAGCAGGGAAGAAGGGCUUGUCUUGCUUCCUGUGAUAUAUGAUUCCUUGCCCGACUGUAUGUCUUGUGCAGAUGGGCAGCCACUCUUGCAACAGGACUGAGAACCCUGUGGAAAGACAUUACAGAGCUCCUUAAAUUUUGCACUCUGCUCCUUUCCAGAUUUAAUCCAUGUCUGGCAGUCCCACUGUUUAAGAUCCAAUCAAAGUUUUCAAUCAGGAGACAAAGGCUGUCUGGGUUCCCACUGUAUGAGAUUCCUUGUCUUGCUGCUCAUCCAUCAGAGUUGUAGAUGGACUGUCACAGCUGCAACAUGACAUGGAACGCAGUGGAAAGAGAUUGUGAAUUUCCUGAAACUCUACUUUGUGCUGGGCUGUUGUCCUGGUGUGGUGUGACCCAAGGAAAUGAGGUCCAGAACCGUGACUGAUGUGGUCAGAAACAGAGAUUUGCCAUCAGUUGGACAGCUGGCAUUGUCCCAAGUCUCACAGCAGAAGUUAAAACAAAUAAUAUACAAAGGCAGUAUCAAGAGCAAUAAAGGCAGAUUGGUUUUAAGAAGUUGCUGCCCAUUGAUUGAAGGAGGCUGACCUCGAGAGUGCAUGAUGGCUUUGAUCACAUGUACCUAAUACACAAACAAAACACCACAGUCUUAUCGGAGAGGACUGCAUGUCCGAUGUCCAGUUCCAGAGGGGGAGCGGGGCAGUGUGUUCGGUGUCUGCUCCCAGAGGGGGGAGAGGAUGAUGUGGCUGACAGCCAGUGUCGGGAGAGAGAGAGGAGGAUGCACCGACAUUGCCAUCAUUUACCGUUUACUUCUGCCCCUCAGCCCCUCACUGCAGGCCUAGCUGAAGAAUUAUACUGCAACACCCAUGUGUAUUCAUCCACCUCCCAGGGGAAUUUGCUGUAAACUCGCCUCACCCUCCCAGCCCUCUGACAUUCCCCUGUAAAACCCCACCCACUCCUCUCACUGGUUCUCUCAUCUUCCCUCUAUUAUCUGGCAGGCAGUUGCCAGUGUAACAAGAGAUGUGUUUGGUUCCUGUUGGAUACAGUAAUUUCUGAAGUAGGCUGCUCUUUGGCAAUGACUUAAAGGUGCAGACAGAGAGAGGCUGUGCUAUGAUCCUGUCUCUCUGGGCUCACUCCAGAAAAGUCAGUCUUGCACUUCACCUCAUUGCCUGAUGCCAGGGUAUGGCAGUUGUGUGACUCACAGGGGUAGAUGUCUUGGUGCGGGAGAGGAGGCUUGUUAGGGACAGGGAAGGAAGUGAAUGAGGGGACCCAACACCUCUCAACAUCCCCUCUUAAAAUAUGAGUUGGACCUUCCUUUUGCUGCCUGACAGCAGCCUGCAUUCCUCCUUAUCUUCUCCAGCCCUCCCGGUACAGGACAAGGCAUGUCAUUCUCUCUUCUCCCCACCUCUCUUCAAGUAGAAAAUAAAAAAUCCUGAUAACACACAUACUAGGCUCAAGACAGCUACUACAUUAUUAUAACACUUAUGGUAAGAUGGAGGAUGUCACAAUUGUUGUGGCCCUUGCACCUUAUUGCAUGUUGAAAUAAUCAGUAUGGCUGGUAUGCAAAUCAUUGAGUUUCACUACAGUCUGUGGUUUAUGCUCUCUGGCUUAAGCUCUGCAGUCUGUGCAUUACAUGUAACAAUAGUAAACCAUUUUAUGUGGAAAUUGUGCAAGUAGAAGGCAGUUAAUAAGUUCAUCACAACAUCGUGGGCUGAGUAGCCUGUUCCUGCACUGAAGAGUGUUCUGUAAUUUGUUAUAUUUACUUGUGAAUGCUGCAUUUCUGAUGCUAUGUGCCUGUGAUGCUGAUGCAAGUAAUAAAUGGAUUCAACAA